rnacentral:rRNA from 1 species
GACGAACGCUGGCGGCGCGCCUAACACAUGCAAGUCGAACGGAGCGUUUGGAGUGAUUUUCUUCGGAGAUGAACUUUGAAUUGCUUAGUGGCGAACGGGUGAGUAACACGUGAAUAACCUGCCCUGGAGUGGGGGACAACAUUUGGAAACGAAUGCUAAUACCGCAUAAGACCACAGUACCACAUGGUACAGUGGCCAAAGGAGCAAUUCGCUCUGGGAUGGAUUCGCGUCUGAUUAGCUAGAUGGUGAGGUAACGGCCCACCAUGGCAACGAUCAGUAGCCGGACUGAGAGGUUGAACGGCCACAUUGGGACUGAGACACGGCCCAGACUCCUACGGGAGGCAGCAGUGGGGAAUAUUGGGCAAUGGGCGAAAGCCUGACCCAGCGACGCCGCGUGGAGGAAGAAGGUUUUCGGAUUGUAAACUCCUGUCUUCGGGGAAGAUAAUGACGGUACCCGAGGAGGAAGCCACGGCUAACUACGUGCCAGCAGCCGCC